rnacentral:rRNA from 1 species
AGGUGGUCAGGUAGAGAAUACCAAGGCGCUUGAGAGAACUCGGGUGAAGGAACUAGGCAAAAUGGUGCCGUAACUUCGGGAGAAGGCACGCUGGCAUGUAGGUGAAGUCCCUUGCGGAUGGAGCUGAAGCCAGUCGAAGAUACCAGCUGGCUGCAACUGUUUAAUAAAAACACAGCACUGUGCAAACACGAAAGUGGACGUAUACGGUGUGACGCCUGCCCGGUGCUGGAAGGUUAAUUGAUGGGGUCAGCCGCAAGGCGAAGCUCUUGAUCGAAGCCCCAGUAAACGGCGGCCGUAACUAUAACGGUCCUAAGGUAGCGAAAUUCCUUGUCGGGUAAGUUCCGACCUGCACGAAUGGCGUAAUGAUGGCCAGGCUGUCUCCACCCGAGACUCAGUGAAAUUGAACUCGCUGUGAAGAUGCAGUGUACCCGCGGCAAGACGGAAAGACCCCGUGAACCUUUACUAUAGCUUGACACUGAACAUUGAGCCUUGAUGUGUAGGAUAGGUGGGAGGCUUUGAAGCGUGGACGCCAGUCUGCGUGGAGCCAUCCUUGAAAUACCACCCUUUAAUGUUUGAUGUUCUAACUCGGCCCCAUAAUCUGGGGUGAGGACAGUGUCUGGUGGGUAGUUUGACUGGGGCGGUCUCCUCCCAAAGAGUAACGGAGGAGCACGAAGGUUAGCUAAUCACGGUCGGACAUCGUGAGGUUAGUGCAAAGGCAUAAGCUAGCUUGACUGCGAGAGUGACGGCUCGAGCAGGUACGAAAGUAGGUCUUAGUGAUCCGGUGGUUCUGAAUGGAAGGGCCAUCGCUCAACGGAUAAAAGGUACUCCGGGGAUAACAGGCUGAUACCGCCCAAGAGUUCAUAUCGACGGCGGUGUUUGGCACCUCGAUGUCGGCUCAUCACAUCCUGGGGCUGAAGUAGGUCCCAAGGGUAUGGCUGUUCGCCAUUUAAAGUGGUACGCGAGCUGGGUUUAGAACGUCGUGAGACAGUUCGGUCCCUAUCUGCCGUGGGCGUUGGAAGAUUGAGAGGGGUUGCUCCUAGUACGAGAGGACCGGAGUGAACGCACCACUGGUGUUCGGGUUGUCAUGCCAAUGGCAUUGCCCGGUAGCUAAGUGCGGAAAAGAUAAGCGCUGAAAGCAUCUAAGCGCGAAACUUGCCUCAAGAUGA